rnacentral:rRNA from 1 species
ACGUAGGGGGCAAGCGUUGUCCGGAUUUAUUGGGCGUAAAGAGCUCGUAGGCGGUUCCGGAAGUCGAGUGUGAAAAAUCUGGGCUCAACCCAGUGGAGCACUCGAUACUGCGGUGACUAGAGUACGGUAGAGGAGUGUGGAAUUCCUGGUGUAGCGGUGAAAUGCGCAGAUAUCAGGAGGAACACCAACGGCGAAGGCAGCACUCUGGGCCGGUACUGACGCUGAGGAGCGAAAGCGUGGGGAGCAAACAGG